CCCUUUUUCAAACCCAGGGAAGAGACCCUGGUAGUCCACGCCCUCAACGAUGAGAACUAGCUGUUGGGAAGUCCACUUCUUAGUAGCGAAGCUAACGCGUUAAGUUCUCCGCCUGGGGAGUACGGCCGCAAGGUUAAAACUCAAAGAAAUUGACGGGGGCCCGCACAAGCGGUGGAGCAUGUGGUUUAAUUCGAUGCAACGCGAAAAACCUUACCUACCCUUGACAUCCUCGGAACUUGUCAGAGAUGACUUGGUGCCUUCGGGAACCGAGUGACAGGUGCUGCAUGGCUGUCGUCAGCUCGUGUCGUGAGAUGUUGGGUUAAGUCCCGUAACGAGCGCAACCCUCGUCCUUAGUUGCCAGCGAGUCAUGUCGGGAACUCUAAGGAGACUGCCGGUGAUAAACCGGAGGAAGGUGGGGAUGAUGUCAAGUCAUCAUGGCCCUUAUGGGUAGGGCUACACACGUGCUACAAUGGGCAGUACAAAGGGUUGCCAAGCCGCAAGGUGGAGCUAAUCCCAGAAAACUGCUCUUAGUCCGGAUUGGAGUCUGCAACUCGACUCCAUGAAGUUGGAAUCUUAGUAAAUUCGAAA
rnacentral:rRNA from 1 species